rnacentral:rRNA from 1 species
UGAAAGACGUAGUAACUUGCGAUAAGCCCAGAUUAGGUAGUAACAGCCAUUUGAGUCUGGGAUUUCUGAAUGGGGAAACCCACUUACAUAAGUAAGUAUCCUUACCUGAAUACAUAGGGUAAGGAGGCGAACCGGGGGAACUGAAACAUCUAAGUACCCCGAGGAAAAGAAAUCAACCGAGAUUCCGAAAGUAGCGGCGAGCGAAAUUGGACUAGCCCUUAAGCUUUACACGCGUUAGACGAACGGUCUGGAAAGUCCGACGAUACAGGGUGAUAGUCCCGUAGUUGACGACGUGUGUUCAGUGAAAUCGAGUAGGGCGGGACACGUGAUAUCCUGUCUGAAUAUGGGGGGACCAUCCUCCAAGGCUAAAUACUACUGACUGACCGAUAGUGAACCAGUACCGUGAGGGAAAGGCGAAAAGAACCCCUGUGAGGGGAGUGAAAUAGAACCUGAAACCGUGUACGUACAAGCAGUAGGAGCAGGCUUUGUCCUGUGACUGCGUACCUUUUGUAUAAUGGGUCAGCGACUUAUAUUCA